rnacentral:lncRNA from 1 species
CAGCCAACCGUGGGUGAUCUCCCGCUUCCAACGAACAGGGCUCUGUUAAACUAAAUCCAAACCAGCAGCAUCCAUCCAUGAAUCCGAUUCCACCACUGCCAGCAGCUCCCCUGUUACGAGUAUCCCAUUUUCAUCGCCUACCGAACUCAAGAUCCAUUUGAUCCCAGCAUCCCAACCACUGCCAGCAACUCCAACGUCUUCCGGAUCAUCAUCAUCCAAGCAUUCCCUUCCGCAUUGUUCUCCCAGCAAAACAAUAUCAUCUCCCAGCCGUCCCAGAUCCCGUUCAGAAUCCAAACUCCCACGUCUCCGUAUUCAUCAUCCUCCUAGCAAAACAGCCUUGCAUCUGCUCCCAAGCUUGAUCCGAGUUCCUCCCGAGCUUCACGGCAUCCAACCGCAUCCUCCCCUAUUUCAAACAGAGUUAUCAUCCCGUUAGCAUCCCAAAUCUCCCAACCGUUUCCAUUCAGCAACAUCCCAUGCAUCCGAGAUCUUCUCAGCUUGCACAUUCAUCCCCUGCUUCGGAAUAAAGAAAUCCAACGCCAACCGUACGCAUCUUCCUCCGCUAAGAUCCCAGCCUUCCUGUUCUUAUCCACGGACAAGUUCACAAGUGAUCCUAUCAACACCACCCGCAUGAGAUUCCUUCUUCCGGAUAAGAUCAUCUCCC